rnacentral:rRNA from 1 species
UGGGGAAUAUUGCACAAUGGGCGCAAGCCUGAUGCAGCCAUGCCGCGUGUAUGAAGAAGGCCUUCGGGUUGUAAAGUACUUUCAGCGGGGAGGAAGGCGAUAAGGUUAAUAACCUUGUCGAUUGACGUUACCCGCAGAAGAAGCACCGGCUAACUCCGUGCCAGCAGCCGCGGUAAUACGGAGGGUGCAAGCGUUAAUCGGAAUUACUGGGCGUAAAGCGCACGCAGGCGGUCUGUCAAGUCGGAUGUGAAAUCCCCGGGCUCAACCUGGGAACUGCAUUCGAAACUGGCAGGCUAGAGUCUUGUAGAGGGGGGUAGAAUUCCUGGUGUAGCGGUGAAAUGCGUAGAGAUCUGGAGGAAUACCGGUGGCGAAGGCGGCCCCCUGGACAAAGACUGACGCUCAGGUGCGAAAGCGUGGGGAGCAAACA